GCAAACAUGCUGCUGCUGGCAGCGCUUCUGGCCACAGCCGCUUGCUCUUAUGGAUUUGCACAAGAAAUUCCCAUGCAGAGCCCUAUAUCCAUCACCAAGGCUAAAGGAAGUGUACACCUGGAAUGUCACUUUAAAGAUGUCUCUGAAGAUUUUGAUGGCGCCUACAUACACUGGUAUCAACAGAAGGCAAAUAAAGCUCCAGAGAGGGUGCUCUAUUUUUCAAGAGUAAAAGUGGUAGAUGAUGGCUUCCAAGCAAACAGAUACAUGGUUGAAAAACUUUCUAGCCAGAAACUCUGCAUUCUUACAAUACACGAUAUCAUUCCAGAAGACACUGCUACCUACUAUUGCGCCUACUGGCAUAGUCACCGUGGUAGAUACUUAGAGAUCACCUAG